AUUUAUAAAAAAAAUUCCUUAUGAAAACCCAUUUUUUCACUUUUUUUUUUUCUUAACUUUCAAAACAUCUACAUUUUACCUCUCAAUAUUUCAAGUUGUUACAUUUAAUCUCCCUCCAUCAGGAUUCUAUUACUAUUCCGUUCAUUUCUUAUACCAAAAAUAUCCUUCAAGUUAAUUAAUAUAAAUUUUCGGCUAAAUUUAUAAAAAAAAUUCCUUAUUUUAAUAUAUUUUUUCACUUUUUUUUUUUCUUAACUUUCAAAACAUCUACAUUUUACCUCUCAAUAUUUCAAGUUGUUACAUUUAAUCUCCCUCCAUCAGGAUUCUAUUACUAUUCCGUUCAUUUCUUAUACCAAAAAUAUCCUUCAAAAUUAUAAAAAUAUAUUAAAAAUUAUUAGAGGUAAUUUGGUCAUUUUAUCCUCUCUAUUAACGCUAUACCAUUCUGAAAAUAUUUUUGAAAUUUAAAAAAGACAAGAAAUAAAUUUUUGAAAGUUAGAAAGUAAAGUGAAAAGGCGAGUAUUUAUAAAAGAAUUUUCUAUAUUUUAGCCUAAAUUUUCUCUCGAUUUUAUGACUGGUAGAUUUGCUAAAAUAAUAAUAACUAUAAAU
rnacentral:lncRNA from 1 species